GACGAACGCUGGCGGCGUGCUUAACACAUGCAAGUCGAACGGAAAGGCCCUGCUUUUGUGUGGUUCUCGAGUGGCGAACGGGUGAGUAACACGUGAGUAACCUGCCCUUGACUUUGGGAUAACUUCAGGAAACUGGGGCUAAUACCGGAUAGGAUCUCCUGCUGCAUGGUGGGGGUUGGAAAGUGUCGGCGGUUGGGGAUGGACUCGCGGCUUAUCAGCUUGUUGGUGUGGUAGUGGUUUACCAAGGCUUUGACGGGUAGCCGGCCUGAGAGGGUGACCGGCCACCUUGGGACUGAGGUACGGACCAGAAUCCUACGGGAGGCAGCAGGGGGGAGUAUUGCAGAGUGGGCGGGAGCCUGAUGCAGAAACGCCGCGUGCGGGAUGACGGCCUUCGGGUUGUAAACCGCUUUCGACUGUGACGAAGAGUGAGUGACGGUAAUGGGUAAAGAAGCAACGGCUAACUACGUG
rnacentral:rRNA from 1 species